UACGGGGGGGGCAAGCGUUGUUCGGAAUUACUGGGCGUAAAGGGCUUGUAGGUGGCCAACUAAGCCAGACGUGAAAUCCCUCGGCUUAACCGGGGAACUGCGUCUGAUACUGGAUGGCUAGAGAUUGGGAGAGGGAUGCGGAAUUCCAGGUGUAGCGGUGAAAUGCGUAGAUAUCUGGAGGAACACCGGUGGCGAAGGCGGGUCUCUGGGCCGAUACUGACGCUGAGGAGCGAAAGCGUGGGGAGCGAACAGG
rnacentral:rRNA from 1 species